rnacentral:sRNA from 1 species
GCUGGUUGCAGUGGUGCACGCCUGUAAUCCCAGCAACUCAGGAGGCUGAGGCAGGAGGAUCACAAUUUCAAGGCCUUAAGUUAGUGAGACCCUGUCUCAA